GGGCUUACUCCCAAGUAAGUGGCUUUAGGAUUGCAGCCUGUGGGUGCAGCUGCUUCCUGACAUUUAAAGAAGAAACCUUCUUCGCUCACACGCUGCUAAAUACUCACAGCUUGCCUGACAGACAGCGUUUAGCAAGUAAGCUGGGAAAACUUUAAUCUUAUCAUUUCCUUAAUUAUGGGCUGGAUCAGUGAAUGCACCUAAUGGAAAGGAGGGGAAGAGAAAGUUUUGUGAAACACCUCUUUUUUUAUGAAAAAGAAGUCUCCUUUGCAUUUUUCUUCAGCAAAGGAGCUGGUUGCAUUGCCCAUUUGUUGGGAAUCUGCUACCAGAACUUAUUGCACUUCCCAGAGGACAGGUGUCAUGUUAUGUUAUGUUAUGUUAUGUUAUGUUAUGUUAUGUUAUAUGUUAUGUCAUAUGUUGUUAUGUUAUGUUUUAUGUUAUGUUAUGUUAUGUUAUGUUAUGUUAUGUUGUUAUGUUAUGUUAUGUUAUGUUAUGUUAUGUUAUGUUAUGUUAUGUUGUUUUGAGCUUUAAAGCCCUUCAUGGCCUAUGACCCUCGUACCUACGGGACCGCCUCUCCGGGUAUGCCCCACGGAGGACCUUAAGGUCCAUAAAUAGCAACACCCUAGAGGUCUCGGGCCCUAAGGAAGUUAGAUUAGCCUCAACCAGAGCCAGGGCCUUUUCAACACUGGCUCCGGCCUGGUGGAACGCUCUGUCUCAUGAGACCAGGGUCCUGCAGGAUCUGAUUUCUUUCCGCAGGGCCUGUAAGACAGAGCUGUUCUGCCUGGCCUUUGGCUUGGAGCCAAUUUGAUUCCCUCCCCCUCUUUCUUUUUCUUUCUUCUCCUGUGAUGAGGCUCCAUUUUAAUAUUUUAAUGUUUCAAUAUUUUAAUGUUGUAUUUUAAUUUUGUUUUUAAGUUGUAUUCAUUCAAUUUGUUUUUAUUAUUGCUUGUUAGCCACCCUGAGCCCGGCCUUGGCUGGGGAGGGCGGGGUAUAAAUAAAAAUUAUGAUGAUGAUGAUGUUAUGUGGGGGUGUUAUGUGGACCCCCUGAAUUCUAGGUAGCCUGCAGCUGAAGUACUAGCAGAUGAGGCUCAUUGCCUUUUUUAAAAAAAAGGUCAGAAGUUUUAUGCCUGUUACCAGUGGCAUGACAGAUGUGGACAGAUGCCUCUUUGCCCAGGACUGCAGGGCUAAGGAAGCUUCCCCUGUGGGUUUUAUCCGAAUCAUGCUGCUCCAAAAGUCACAGGGGCCCUAUCCAUGCAGAAAGCAAUGUGGUAAGAUUCUAUGGGAUUUUGAUAUUUGGAAGUGCUUCUGAGAGCUGCCCGGGAGAUUGUCAUUUCUUUGGAGACCUCUAGCAUGUCUUUACGGAAAAGUAAUCUAGAGGGCCAUGCCUUCCCAUCAGAUGUCAAGGAAAUAAACAGCUAACUGACUUUUAGACGUUAUGGCUGGCAAUGGACUUGAGGAGACCUCUUUCACAUUAGGCAACCCUAAUUGUUUGAGGCGGGGUACCUUGCCUUGCCAGAAAUAAAUUUCUUUACUUCAGGAGAUAAGGAAAGGGAUAGCUCCCUGUAUCAUAACUAGGGGUGGGGGGGGGGGAUAUGUCAAGUUUGGCUUUUCUCCAUUUUCCAUUUCUCCAACCUUAAGUUCAGUUUUCCACAUCAUCACAUGAAAAUUCUACAUCUUUUCAAUGUGAGUUUCUCCUAAUAUUCACAUUUUGCCAAAUAGUUACCCCUAAUAUAAUGCCUUUCUGUAUGUUAUUUUCACAAAUAUACCUGGAUGCCUUUGAAUACAUAUCCUACCCUAGUAGCAUUUUAGUGCAUGUUACUUGACUGCGGAACGACCUUGCAAAAUUCAGAUGAGGGCAAAAUUGAAGGAUGGCUGUGGUUUGGUUUGCAUAAUGUUUCAGAAAGUGGGAAUUAAGUCAGUUCACCUUUAAAUGUGAACUGAAUUGAAUUUCUCUUCCAUUCAUAAUCGCAACACAUGGGAAGGUUUGUGAAGUGCUCAGUUCAUGAUAUUUGUACAUGCAGGUAAGUUUGUCAUUUCAUUGAGGAAUACCUCAACUUUAAAUGGGUGAGGAGGCAAGAUCUCUUCUACCAGGCGUUUGGCUAGUAUUUAUAUUUCAGGAAAACCACACAAAAACAGCAAUACUGAACCCACUUAUCUGGGACUUACCUGAACUCAAUGGGACUUACUUCUGAGUAAUGUAUAGGAUCAUUCUAUAGCACUCCCAUCUGUGCAGUAACAAUUGUUGUUGUUUAGUCGUUUAGUCGUGUCCGACUCUUCGUGACCCCAUGGACCAGAGCACGCCAGGCACUCCUGUCUUCCACUGCCUCCCACAUUUUGGUCAAACUCAUGCUGGUAGCUUCGCAAACACUAUCCAACCAUCUUGUCCUCUGUUGUCCCCUUCUCCUUGUGCCCUCCAUCUUUCCCAACAUCAGGGUCUUUUCUAGGAAGUCUUCUCUUCUCAUGAGGUGGCCAAAGUAUUGGAGCCUCAGCUUCAUGAUCUGUCCUUCCAGUGAGCACUCAGGGCUGAUUUCCUUCAGAAUGGAUAGGUUUGAUCUUCUUGCAGUCCAUAAGACUCUCAAGAGUCUCCUCCAGCACCAGAAUUCAAAAGCAUCAGUUCUUCAGCGAUCAGCCUUCUUUAUGGUCCAGCUCUCACUUCCAUAUAUCACUACUGGGAAAACCAUAGCUUUUACUAUACAGACCUUUGUUGGCAAGUAACAAUUAAGUAACAAUUAUACCCUUCAACCUGUACACCAGACAGAAUAAUGCCCGCUUGUUUUACAGGUGCUGUAAUGCUUAGGAUCACAAGCAUUGAUCUUUGUUUCAUCUUUCAUUUCUCAGAAUCCCCCCCCCCCCCCUAAAAAUCUAUAACUGCUGAAUAAGCAGAAAGGCUGAGGAAGUUCAUGUUGAUGUGAGCUUCCUUAAAAGUCACCAGAAUUGUGUAAUGUGUUUUAAAGAGAUGGUGUGUUGCUUUCUGGGUGUUUAGAAAGCAGAUGUCCUUAACAAGGCUGGGCGUAGAACCCUGUUGCUCACAUCUAAGGCAUGGACGCUGUUAUGUACUGAAGUUCUCACCCUGGGCCAGCAGGGGGAUACUGUAGAUAGUUCAGGUCCACAUAUGCAAAUAAGGGAUCGAAAGUGAUGUUCAGUGAUUGGAUAGUUACAGAAAGUUGUUACAGCUACGUUGUACUGGAGCUCUAUAUAAGCAGGCUGGCUGAACCCUUCAGUUCAGUUCUGUUCUGAACUGUGAGUAAACAAGAGCUGUUUGGAGAAUCGCUGUGUCGUCUGAUAUGUUCACCUACAACUUAACAGACGCCUCUCCACCCUCUUUGCCCCCACAGUGGCCAAACAAAUGCAUCUCCAAAGCCCACAAACAGGCGUCUUCCUCUAAUGCUCCACAGUGACUGGUAUUUCUGGCUGCAGUUUCCGUUCAAGCCGGAAUAAAGUACCCUGGGAGAAAAAAGAAAGGCGAUCUAAUCUCGCAUAACUCCAGAAGCCCAGAGGGGAGUGAAGCCCAGACAGAUAAACACAGGUGACUGGUCUUAGCAAAUCUUUCUAGAGAGCAAAUUCAAAGGAGAGAAAGGCUACUGGGGAUUAGCUGAUGGCUGUGCAGAUGGUGCCAUGAGAGGGAGAGUUUUUGCAUUCACGGAGCGGCACAGGGCUUCCUGCCACGAGAAGCGAUUGUUUGAAUUAGACAGUCGGUCUCCAUUUCAGCAGAUGGGCCUCCAAACCUCCAGGGUUCUGAAUGGGCAAGUAUUGUGAGGUGGAUUUGAAGUGGAAGUCAAAAAGAGGGAAGCUUCUCUGUGUUAACUCAUCGUCCAGGGAACUGCUGUCAACGUUGCAUACAAGAGGAAGGAACUGAAGGCAAACUGUCAAUGAAAAAGAAGAACUGAAAUAUUAUAUGGAAAGGACUAGGAAGGCUGGUUUUUCUGCUGCAUGCAGGAAAUGGGAAACUGCACACAAACACUUGUUAACACAUGUCCAGAUGACUUGUUGCCAAUUAGCCCAGUUCAACUGGAACUCUGCGCAUAUCCUGUGAUUUGGGGAGUCCCUUCCCAUGAACAGAUCUGCAGGUGUGAAAUAUACUCAGAGUCGAGAGUGGAUUUCAUGGUCUUUAUGUCCCCUCAAAGUAUCUGCUUUAUAUACAUUAUUUACACAAUGGGCUGCACGUGAUUGGCUAAUUCCGGAAUUCUCCUGUAGGCCAAUCAGGUUGUGGAUUCACUUCCAUCUGGAGCCGGAUUGGGUGGCUCCUGCAGACCAAUCAUACUGCUGCAUUGUUCUAGGACCAAUCAGACUGCUGCAUUCUGAAUCCUAUUGUUCUAGGACCAAUCAGACUGCUGCAUUUUGGAUCCUAUUCAACUCAGUACAUAACAAGGUGGAAGUGCUGAACUGAUGUCUUGCCUCGGUAAUGGAUUGGAUGAGAGCCAACAAACUGACGCUCAGUCCAGAAAAGACGAAGGCCCUGUCAGUUGGUCGUUUCCUCGAUCAGAAGGACGAAAGCUUGCCUGCUCUUGAUGGGAUUACAAUCCCUCCAAAGGAGCGGGGACAUAGCCUGAGAUGCUUCUAGAUCCAUUGCUGACUUGAGACGCAGGUGGCCUCAGUGGCCCGGAGUGCCUUCCAUCAGAUUCAUCUGGUGGCCCAGCUGCGCCCCGAUCUGGACAGGGACAGACUAACUUCUGUUGUCUAUGCUCUGGUAACUCUAGGUUAGAUUACUGCAGUGCAUUAUACACAGGGCUGCCUCUGAAGACAGUUCGGAAACUUCAGCUAGUACAGAAUUCGGCAGCCAGGCUGCUGACCUGGGCAAGCUGGUUUGAGCAUACAGCAUGAAAUAUACUCGGAGCGGCGUAGUGAUUUCAUGCUCUUUAUUGCAGCUCGUAAAACAGUGAAUGAAUCCCCCCCCCAACCCUCAGGCUUUAUAUACAUUAUUUACACAACGGGUUCCGUCUGAUUGGCUGAUUCUGCUUCCCUCCUGGAGCCUGAAUGGUUGUUGCAUUUAGGAUCCUACCUGCCUAUUGUUCUAGGAUCCAAGCUUAGUACAUAACACUGCACUAACCCAAGCCCAACUUCACGGGCUACCAAUUCGUUUGCAGGUGCAAUUCAAAGCGCUGGUUUUGACCUGUAAAGCCUUAAAUGGCUCAGGACCACAAUAGCUCAAGGACCACCUCUUUCCAUAUGAACCUACCCAGACCCUGAGAUCAUCAUCUGAGGCCCUUCUUUAUGUGCCUUCUCUGUGAGAAGUUUGGAGGGUGGCAACACAGAAAGGGGCCUUUUCUGUGGUGGCUCCCCAUUUGUGUGAUGUUCUCCCCAGGGAGGCUUGCCUGACGCCUUCAUUCCAUAUCUGAAGGUGCCAGGUGUUCCUCCCAGGCCUUUGGCUAAUAUAACCAUCUGUGGCCUUUUAAACUGGGGAGAGGGGUAGUUUUAUUAUUUUUGUUACUAUGCUGUGUGUUUUUAUAUUGUGAACUGCCUUGUGAUCCUCAGACAAAUGGCGAUAUAGAAAUUUAAUUAAUUAAUAAUAAAAUAGUGCUGUCUGUAAGCAAAUUUGUUCAGCCAGGUCAGUCUGUUUGCUCAAUCGCUGUCCCCUGCGCUUCUGAUUUAUGGAGACCCACAUGAUCCACUAAAGAAAGAGAGAAAAUGUUAUGUACUGAGUUGAAUAGGAUUCAGAAUGCAGCAGUCUGAUUGGCCCUAGAACAAUAGGAUUCAGAAUGCAGCAGUCUGAUUGGCCCUAGAACAAUAGGAUUCAGAAUGCAGCAGUCUGAUUGGUCCUAGAACAAUAGGGUCCAGAAUGCAGCAGUCUGAUUGGUCCGCAGGAACCACCCAAUCCAGCUCUAGGUGGAAGUGAAUCUGCAACCUGAUUGGCCUGCAGGAGAAUCCCGGAAUUAGCCAACCACGUGGGGCCCAUUGUGUAAAUAAUGUAUAUAAAGCAGACAUUAUGGGGGAACUUCCAUUCCUCCUCACCACUAUGAGCUGAAUAAAGAGCAUGAAACCCACUCUCGACUCUGAGUAUAUUUCAGGAAAGUACGCGUCUAAGACAGAAACUGAUUUGAAGGAGUGGAAAACAUUUACUGAGCUAUUAUUUCAAUGCACAAAAUAACUCCUCCAGCUCCAGCCCUCUUAGUUUUCGCUGCUGCUGACUCUUCUGCCCAGGUCCUCAUCUGGAUGAAACAGAACUUCUUUUUGCUUCUACAGACCAACAUUUGCGGGUUCUGCAUAGCCCAUGUGUUUGUGGGAAGACAAACAAAGGAUCCUAAGGGUAUUUACAAGAGGGGUGGGUGGGCGUUUUCCUUUGUGUGUUUCCUAAUAUGAUGGUGGGCUCUUCACUGUGCAAAAAAUGCCGCACUCCAUUUUAUAAGGAGGCUCUCUCUAACCAUCUUGUUUUCAGGAGGGAUUCUGCCCUAACUAAUGAACUGCAAAGAGAGGGGGGGAAAUUGCUUCUCCCUCUUAAUUUGUUGUGCUGACUGUAAAGUUCAAUUACAUUAAUGGUUUGCAGUGUUUCUGAGAUCUGAAGUACUCCAGCUAAUUAAUCACCCUGGAGUUAUAUUGUGCACAGUGCAAUGAAACACUUAAUACGUUGAUGAGACCCAACAUAGUCUUUUGCACUUGGCGGAAUGAAUGUGGUGAGAUGAAUGGAUCGGGGGAGGGGAUCUCAAAAUCUCUCUGCCUUUGAGGAGUGGUAAAAAAAAAUAGUGAGAUAAUAAGGACGAUUAUGGCAGGGAAUUCUGUAUCUGUAUUGUGAUUUAGAGUGCUCCAAGUACUUUUGCAUAUGUUUUCUUUUGCAGAAUUGCCUUACCCCAAAAGAGCACACUCAGUUGCAUCAAUUUGCAAAACUGGCACUGUUUCAGGUGCACAAAAUGUAGGCUUGAGCUUUUUCUGGCAAAGUUGUUGAGCUUUUUUGUCAAAAUCUCCACAAACAAUUGAAGUUUCCCCCUAUUUCUUAGGGAAAUCACCCCCAAAAUCAACACUUCCUAUACUGGCUGCCAUAUGCCUGGGUUUUCCCACACAUUUUUGCUGCUUUUCAGAAAUUCUGCCGGAAUGCCAUUUUUGACACCUACGUCUGGGAAAUUCUGGACAUAGGGCAGCCCUAACAUAAUGCUUGUUCCUUACUUGUAAGAAAUUAGUAUUUUAGUCUGGCAGCAACUACCCUUUGGAACUCCCUACCUGUUGACACCAGGCAGGUGCCUUCUCUGCACUUUGCUGUUCCAGACAUGUGGAAGUUGCAUGUGUGUUAUUUCUUUUUAGCUACUGUUGAUUGUAAUAAUCUUUUGUUGUUAUCAAUUGUUGUUAUCAAUAAUUUCAAUGUUUUGUUUCCUAUUUUUGUAAACCGUUAGGUGGUUACAAUCUAGCGAUAUGUUGUUGUUGUUUAGUCGUUUAGUCGUGUCCGACUCUUCGUGACCCCAUGGACCACAGCACGCCAGGCACUCCUGUCUUCCACUGCCUCCCCCAGUUUGGUCAAACUCAUGCUGGUAGCUUCGAGAACACUGUCCAACCAUCUUGUUCUCUGUUGUCCCCUUCUCCUUGUGCCCUCCAUCUUCCCCAACAUCAGGGUCUUUUCCAGGGAGUCUUCUCUUCUCAUGAGGUGGCCAAAGUAUUGGAGCCUCAGCUUCAGGAUCUGUCCUUCCAGUGAACACUCAGGGCUGAUUUCCUUCAGAAUGGAAAGGUUUGAUCUUCUUGCAGUCCAUGGGACUCUCAAGAGUCUCCUCCAGCACCACAAUUCAAAAGCAUCAAUUCUUCGGCGAUCAGCCUUCUUUAUGGUCCAGCUCUCACUUCCAUACAUCACUACUGGCUACCGAUAUGUACAUUUUGAUAAAUAAAAACAAAACUUCACAACCUCGUAAAGCAGAUUGGGAUUAUUAUCUGCAUGCUGAAGCUGGUGGGGCUGAGUCGCAACAGAUUUCCUGAAAGUGCAUAAAGAAUUGAAGGCAGAAGCAAGACGGGGGGGUUUCCUGUCUCAGUGGGUGUUCAUUCUGCACUGGACCAUAAAUGGAAGGAAGUCCUGCCACAUUCAGUGGGGCUUAGUCCUAGUUAAGCGCGCAAAGAACUGCAGCCUUAUUCACCGUGCUACACUAUGGCUGCGUGUGACGGGUAUAACGAUAAACCAUAGUUUGUUGUGAGAAGCUUAGCCUCCCUUGGGGUUCGUAUGUGGAAAUCUCUGGCCCAGGCAAAAGGUGGAGUUCAGAAGCUUCCAUUUUUGCUUCCAUUUUUGGUCAGUUGUAGCUUGUCAUGUCACCCAACCUAGCAAACUGAGGUUAGCAUGUAACUAUAAAUCGAGCCAACUUCAAGCUGCAGUGUAGGAAGCUGGCUUGUUUCGUUCUGGAGGUCCGUUCUUAACCUGAAACUGUUCUUAACCUGAAUAAUAAUAAUAAUAAUAAUAAUACUAAUAAUAAUAAUAAAUAAUAAUUUAUUAUUUGUACCCCACCCAUCUGGAUGGGUUUCCCCAGCCACUCUGGGCGGCUUCCACAAAGACUAAAAAUACACUAAGAUGUCACACAUUAAAAACUUCCCUUAAGAUGUCUUCUGAAUGUCAAGUAGUUGUUUAUCUCUUUGACAUCUGAUGGGAGGGCGUUCCACAGGGCGGGCACCACUACCGAGAAGGCCUCUGCCUGGUUCCCUGUAGCUUUGCUUCUCGCAAUGAGGGAACCACCAGAAGGCCCUCGGCGCUGGACCGCAGCGUCCGGGCAGAAUGAUGGGGGUGGAGACACACCUUCAGGUAUACUGGGCCGAGGUCGUUUAGGGCUUUAAAGGGCUUUGAAGCACCACUUUCGCUAAUGGGGUCUCCCGCUGCCGCUGCACCGCCGGAGCACAAUUUCUGUUCUCACCCCGAAGCAAAGUUCUUAACCCGAGGUACUAUUUCUGGGUUAGUGGAGUCUGUAACCUGAAGCGUCUGUAACCCGAGGUACCACUGUAUGGUCAAGCUCAACCACAUUAAAUGGUUCAGAUGUAAUGUUAAAUGAAAGCAAAAGCUGACAGCAGGAGGGAGUUAGGCUUGUUCCUGUCACAAUGAACCACAGCUCAUCAUUGCAGCCACACGCCCUAAUGUCACAGAACGAUCACUCCAAUCCUUACUCCCACAUCACAAAGUUGCAUUGUAACUUUUGAAUUAAUAUUUAAAUAAUAAUAAUAAUAGGGAGGCAGGUGGCGCUGUGGGUUAAACCACAGAGCUUAGGACUUGCCGAUCAGAAGGUCAGCAGUUCGAAUCCCCGCGACGGGGUGAGCUCCUGUUGCUUGGUCCCUGCUCCUACCAACCUAGCAGUUCGAAAGCACAUCAAAGUGCAAGUAGAUAAAUAGGUACCACUCUGGUGGGAAGGUAAACGGCAUUUCCAUGCGCUGUUCUGGUUCGCUAGAAGCGGCUUAGUUAUGCUGGCCACAUGACCCGGAAGCUGUACGCCGGCUCCCUCAGCCAAUAAAGCGAGAUGAGCGCUGCAACCCCAGAAUCGGUCAUGACUGGACCUAAUGGUCAGGGAUCCCUUUACCUAAUAAAUAAUAAUAAUAAUAAUAAUAAUAAAUAAAAAUAAAAAUUAAUAACAAACCAUUCCAACUAUAAGCAGCCCCUCCCUACAACUCCCAGAACCAUAGGUGGCAGAUUAGGGGAAAGCAUUCUGAUCAAAUAGAGCGAUUGAUCACAAGAGGUUGCUCACAGACACCCCAUUGGAAUGGCAGUGCCCAUCAAUGGGGGGGGCGCGCCUCGGUCUCCUCAAAUAUUUUAUUGCGGGAGCGAUUGCGGGUUCUAUGGCUCAGCUCUGCCUCUGCUUCUGCUCGUGUGUACAGUGGUACCUCGGGUUAAGUACUUAAUUCGUUCCGGAGGUCCAUUCUUAACCUGAAACUGUUCUUAACCUGAAUCACCACUUUAGCUAAUGGGGCCUUCUGCUGCUGCCGUGCCGCCGGAGCACGAUUUCUGUUCUCAUCCUGAAGCAAAUUUCUUAACCUGAAGCACUAUUUCUGGGUUAGCGGAGUCUGUAACCUGAAGCGUAUGUAACCUGAAGCGUAUGUAAUCUGAAGCGUAUGUAACCUGAGGUACCACUGUAUUCAGAUAUUUUAUUUCUUAGAACCAGCCCCCUCCUUAAACUGUCCAUUUCCCACUUGAAUAAUUGUUUGCGCGUGUAGAAUGGACAUUUGUGAUGGUGCAUUCUCAGAGACCAAAUCCCUCUCGCUUUUCAGCCAUCAUCCCCCCCCACCGCAACUUAUUAUGGAAAACUGCAGUGAUUUUGACCAGGACUUGGCAUUCGUUAUUGGCAAUGAUAUGCACAGACUAUAGUAAGAGCACCUUGCUGUGUAAUAGGUUUAAUACCAGAGCUGUACAAAUAUUUAUUUAUGUCUCCGGCAGCACCAGAGUACGACCUUUAAACGGAUUGAUGGUUGACUGCAAUGCUUUAAGGAUAAGUAAUAAUGCUCUCACUUGUCAAUAUUUGCUCCAUGACAAGUUAUAGCUAACAGGGGUGAGGAAGGGUUCAGACGGGCUGUGCUGAAACAUCAACAUUAGCUAAUAACAAUAAUCCUUGCAGAGGUUUUGGAACAUAUAUCGCAUCCAAAAGUUCUGCAAGCUAUUUUUAGCUUAUGUUAACCAUCCUUUUUAACGCUGCUUGUGUUCGGCAGGCCAGGUCUAUUCACUAAAUAUAUCUUUCCAAGUUUUUCAUGCUGCUCCAGGGGCAGCACGUUCUGUUUCACUGAGGCGAAACAGGAAGUGCCACUUUCUGCUGCCACUGCUGCCAUACUUGCUGGCAUUGGCACCAGUGCCAAUUUCAGGCAACACGUCACCCAAUUUGGGCAAGAUCUUGUUCAAUUUGCGGUGUGAAUUUGGCCCAAAUCUGUGCUGGAGGCUGCAGGGCUGCCGCCUUGGGAGCUUUUGCCACCUGAAGCAGCUGCCUCGGCCAGCCAGCUGUGGGCUACCCCUGUUUAACCACACAUUCCUCCAGGUAUUGGCAUCUAAUGUGUGUUUAAAUCCUCUUGACAGCCAAUAGCACCAAUGACUCAACUCCCAUGGCCCAACAGAGCUUGACCUGGAGCAGAGUUGGCUUUCUGGGCUCUUUGCAUCCUGACAGGUGGCAAGGAGAAUUUCACAGGUGCAGGCAGCAGUUACCUGUGUCAGAGAUGGGGCACCCCGGGCCUCUCUGGGUGGCCUUUGGGACCCCACCUGGGGAAGUCAAGUAGCGUCCAGCAUAUGCUGACUUAGGAACAAGUGGGUUGCAGAUUACAUUUUCCAGUGGCAGCUUGAAAACAGGGGCAGAGCAAGGUGGGGGCGGUGAGUGCGGACCCCCCUGGGUGUCAUUUCCAAGGGGGGUGACAUUCGGCGCGCCACCCGCCCGUGACUCCCUGCUACCCCAAGACAUUGUGGGAAGAGGUGCAGCUGUGCCGCUUUGCUGGCAGCCUUCCCCUCUUCGUUUCGACAGCCCCACGCUCCUGGGCUGCUGGAGGAGGCAGGUGGGGAGAGGACGGGAAGGGAAGGAGGCAGGCGAGCAAACAAGCAGAGGGUGGAGGGAAGGAGAGAAGCAGAAGCUUCCUCUACUCAGGACCCAAACCCUGUAACCCUAAAAAAGCUCAACAACUUUGGCCAACCCUCUCCCCUGAAAACUCCUGGCAAUGAUAAUGGGUAGAUCACAGCCAGUCAUUUUAUACUGUGAGUAGAUCACAGUCUCUUGGGAGUCCAGCUAGAUUUCAAUGAGUGUGUAUGGGGGGAGGAUGACAAGAAAUUUUCCGCACCGGGUACCACCUGACCUUGCUACGCCACUGCUUGCAAAAGCAAGCCAUGCCCUAAGUGAGGUCUAAACCACUUGGAAAACUGCCUGGUCCUGCAAGGCCACUAAAUGCCCUUUCUCUUUGCCAGCUAGGGAGCGGUCUGUUCUGCUGUCUCUGUCUCCCCAUCACUUUGCUCCCCUGGCAUGUCUUGCCUCUUUCUACUCCAGCCAUCACUCCACCAAUAUGUUUCUAUGGCAACGCUGUCGAGCCACGGAUGAGACAUUUUUAUUUAAACCCGAAAGAUAACAGGAGACCAUGCCAGACAAAUUACCUCCAGGCACGCUGCAUCGCCUUGUCAGACGAGGAGGGCUUCCUCCCUUACGCCAGGGCUUUGCACACACCACACACUGAAAGCAUGUGACUUCUCCCGCAAAGAAUCCUGGGAAAUGUAGUUGACACCUCAGCUCUGCAAUUCCCAGCACCCUUAAACGACAGUUUGUGAGAACAAGAAAUAUAACAGGUGAUAACAAAGUAUUGUGUACAAAGAACAGAAUGUAACAUUUGAUGUAAUAAAUCAGAAAUGGAAGUUGGGGGAAGUCAACAGGGAGGGGGGAAAUUGGAAAAUGAAUGUUAAUGUGGCAAGAGUAUUGUUAGCCCAGAAAUGGAAACAAGAAGAAAUUCCGACGAAAGAAGAAUGGCAGACGAAAUUAAUGGACUAUGCAGAAUUGGACAAAAUGACAGGAAGGAUUCGAAACCUGCGGGACCAGAGAUUUACAGAAGAUUGGAAGAAGUGUAUGAGUUAUUUGAAGAGCAACUGCAAUCAACAAAUUACGCUAGUAGGACUACAAGAAGUUUUGUAAGGAGAAAUAUACGAAGUGUUACAAAGCAGAAAAAGAUAGAGAUAUUGGUUAUGAGUUUGAAAUGUAAUAGGGAAGAUAAGAAAUGGAUACUGAGAGAUUAGAUUGGAAAAUUUUCAGACAGGAUUGAUGGAAAUCAAAAAUUUGAAUAAGAUGUAAAAGUAUGUUUAAUUACCGUUGAAAAUGAUAUGUUAAAAAAAACUAAUAAAAAUAUAUUAAAAAAAGGAAAAUGAAUUUUAAGUAAUGAUACUGGAUAUUUGUUCUGAGAAAAGAAAAUCAAUAAAAAAUAUUUUUAAAAAAGAAACGACAGUUUGCAGGAUGCUUGAACUGGGCUUUAAAUGUACAGUGUUGUUGUUGCUUUCUUUAGUUUUCGAAUGUUGAUUUUUGUGUGUUGUGUAUUGUUAUUUUUAGAUAUCUUUCGUGUUGUUGUUGUUGUGUGGAAAAUACUAAUAAAGUUUAUUUUUUUUAUAAAAAAUGUACAGUGUUUAUCAGCCCAAGUGCAGAGAUGUGGGAAACAGGGCUGGGCUACCCAUGGAGACUGGGUGAAGCAGCCGCCUCCGGUGGCAGAAGCCGAAGAGGCAGUAAAGUCAUGGGACCCCCACCCAGGGGCAGAGGAAGGGGUGCGCGCGAUGGGGCCAGGCCACUCCGAGUGCCAUCUCUGAGAGGGGUGACAUAAUGCUGGGAGGCACUCACCGCGGGAACUGAAGUGCGCCUGAGCCACGCAUCUCUCCUGGGAGUGACGCGGUGGCUUGGGCACCCGCAGGCUCCACCCUGCCCCAUAUGGUCCGCCCACCGCCUCCCCCUCAGCUGUAGGGUGGCUGAGUGGGAGGUGGCAGGCAGACUCCUUGGAGGCCCCGCAGAGCAUCCUGCCCUGGCUGGCCCUGCCCCAGACGCCUGAUCAGCUUGCUCCACUGCUGCCCUCACCCGCCCCACCCGGCAGAGAAGCGGCACCAGCAGCAGCACUGGUUUCUGGCAAGAUUUCACUGGUGCGGCUUUGUGAGCGCCACCACACAACCCAGAUAAGGGAGGCUCAAACUCGGCUCCGGUUUGUAAAAUGGGGAAAAGCAGCAGAAACUAGCAUGCAAAGGUCAUCAUUGGCACGGCUGAUUGAAAUUGCUACGCGAACAGGAUAAGUAAAUUAUUAGACUGUGUAUAAGUACAGGAUUAUCUUUUGCUCCAGCUGUGUAUGCACAGGGCUGCUCGGAAAGCACAGCUCUGGUUGUGGAAAAUAUCUUUCUUCAGCUGGUCUUCACCCACCAGGGAUAGAAAUGGCAUAUUGUAUUUUAAUAUUUUGUUGGAAGCUGCCCAUCUGGCUGGGGAAAUCCAGCCAGAUGGGUGGGGUAUAAAUAAUAAACAAUUAUUACUAUUAUUUGUUGAAGGUGUGCCUAAUUCAAAGCUACUGUUUACGUAUAUAGUGAAAAAUUCUGAAAAUAAAAUAAAAAUAGAUUUUAUAUGUAAUUAGUCAUGACUAAACUUUAACUUUAAUCCACUGAAUAUUGUCCUUAGCUUUUGGAUGGAACAAAAAGAACAAAAGUUGAUCCAGAAUUUAUUAAUGGAAAGAAUCAAAAUUUGGAAACUUGCCAAGACAAACCACACCAAAUGAAACCCAGCCAGAUGGGUGGGGUAUAAAUAAUAAAUUUUAUUAUUAUUGUUAUUAAUUAAGCAAAUCCUGAAAGAAAAAGCAAAUCCUAAAAAAAACCCCACCUUGGCUACCAUUUAUUCAUUUUAUGAAUCUGAAAUUCAACUUGGAUGUUAAUAUAAAUGUAAUCAUUGAUCUACCAUUCUAAUUGUUUUACUUUAAAUAAAAAGAAGUACGUUUCAUUUAGCUUCCCAGUGAAUAAAGAACCUUCAAGCUAAAUAAACUUGCUUAUACGCUGCCCCAUUUCUCAACUAUACUGGAAGAGAUUAAGAAACCUAUAUUCAGUGUUCUAUAGGGAGUGAUUUGGAAAAAACCUUAAAGUGCACUGAGAAAUCCAGAAAUCAGCUUGUGACUAGCGCUGUCUUCCAUUGAUUAAAUCUGAGAUGCUAGAACAAUAAACUAGAACAGCAUUUUCAACCUUGGGGGGGCAACUCCUAUGCCUCUUCCCCAUGAUUCCAUCCCCUUUCUUCUAAGUCACUAACAUCUCAAAUGACAUAUUUGUUUUCAGUGCCUUCAGGCAGAUGGAAAUUUCCUUCCUUCCUUUGAGAGUCUGUAGAGUAGGAGACUCCUCAUCUCGGAGUUGUGGGUUCAAGCCCCACAUUGGGCAAAAGAUUCCUGCAGUGGACCAGAUGACCCUAGUGAUCUGUUCCAACACUACAAUUCUAGGAAAUUCUAGGAAAACUUUAUGUUAUAACUUUAUAGAUAAUGGCCUUAAAGCUUCAAUGAUUUCCUAAACUCCUUUCAUUGGAGCAAAAACCUAUCAAAUCAAGUGGAUUAAAUGGUUAGGCAAUGAGCCUAAUGUUCUCCAGACCUUUUAGAGUUGAAUCUAGAAUUACCUGUUGUACAAGGUUGCAUUGUACCCCACGCAGAACACUCAACCAAAUUUCUUAUAAUUAAACAAGACAGGAAGUGCAUGCUGUAAAAUCUAAGUGACAUUUUAAUGACUCACUUUAUAAUAUGAGGGAACAAAGAAGUCUAUUCCAGAGGUCAUGAGGAUCUCAUUUACAUAAUAUAUCUCUUGUAGAAAUUAAAGUAUUACACAGCCCUUAUAUUACAGCAACACUAGAAUGGUUCAAACUGCAUGGGGUGCAUUUUAAAAAAAGUAAUACUCUCUUCUAAGAAAUACAAUGGAAUAACAAGCUGAAUUUCAAAAGUCUAUUUUGUUCAAUUCACAAUAAUCACAGCAGGAAUCAAACCUGGGAGCUGUUUCACAUAUUGCAUUAAAAAAAAUGCACACCUAAAAAUUUAUGUAUAGAUCUAAACCUAUAAAUUAGGUAAAGGUAAAGGGACCCCUGAAAGCACUCUUAAGUGCAAGUAGAUAAAUAGGGACCGCUUUAUAGUGGGAAGGUAAACGGCGUUUCCGUGUGCUGCGCUGGUGCUGGCUCGCCAGAGCAGCUUCAUCACGAUGGCCACGUGACCCGGAAGUGUCUUCGGACGGCGCCGGCUCACGGCCUCUAGAGCGAGAUGAGCACGCAACCCUAGAGUCAGACACGACUGGUCAAUAUGGGCAGGGGUAGCUUUACCUUUACCUUUACCUUAAAGGGACCCCUGACCAUUAGGUCCAGUUGUGGCCAACUCUGGGGUUGCGGUGCUCAUCUCGCUUUAUUGGCCGAGGGAGCCGGCGUACAGCUUCCAGGUCAUGUGGCCAGCAUGACUAAGCCGCUUCUGGCAAACCAGAGCAGUGCACGGAAACACCGUUUACCUUCCCACCAGAGCAGUACCUAUUUCUCUACUUGCACUGUGACGUGCUUUCGAACUGCUAGGUUGGCAGGAGCAGGGACCGAGCAACGGGAGCUCACCCCGUCGCGGGGAUUCGAACUGCCGACCUUCUGAUCGGCAGGCCCUAGGCUCUGUGGUCUAACCCACAGCACCAUAAAUUAUACAGAGACAAAUGUGUUUGGAAAUACAUCAUUAGCAGUGGGGAAGAAAUUCAAUCUAAUUCACAUUUUAAUGCAAUUUGCACUUUCUAAAGCAAGACAUAAAGACGGAAGCUAUCCUUCAAAAUUCACACUGGCCUGAAUUUUGCAGUGCAGUCACUCAACUGAAUAAUGUGUACAAAAAUGCAUAGAUUGGUUAAAAUAACACCCUCAAAAACAUUAGGUAAAAUUACAGUGGUACCUCCGCUUAUGUAUUCCUCCGGUUAUGUAAACUUCAGGAUAUGUAAGCGGCAAACCCAGAAGUAUAUUUCCAGGUUUUUGCUGCACACGCAUGCGCAGAAGUGCUCUACUGCCACAUGUGUGCACGCAGAAGCAGUCUCUCCAGUUGCGAAAAUAUCAGGAUCUGGCCGAACCUCUGGAAUGGAUCCUGUCCACAACCGGAGGUACCACUGUACUUGUAAAAAUGUGUAUAUUAGGCAAAACUGAAUAAAAAUUGGUAUGCUAGGAGUAACACACACUAAAAUGCUGGUGGAUUAUUGUGCAGUUUUUUUUGGGGGGGGAUGCAAACUGAUACAGAUAACUCUGUGCCCCCAACCCCCAAUGGCUGCUUCAUACAGAUGUUGAAUAGCAGCGGGGACAGAAUGAAACUUGGUGGCAUGACACAGGGAAGAUGCCAGGAUGUAGACAAGAGGUAGACAUGUGUCUCAAGGCUGUUUUCUGGUGCUGGUCAUGCAGGUAGGAGCUGAACUGCUGCAACAUGGGGCCUCCAACUACCAACCCGCAGAGAGGGCCCAGGAAGAUGCUGUGGUCCAUGGCAUCAAAAGCCGCUGAGAGAUCUCCAAGCCAGCCUUCGUGUGGCCCUCUCCCACCUCUCCCUUGAAGGAGGUCACCUGUCAGGGUGACCAAGGCUGAUUCCUCACCAAACUCAGUCCUAAAUCUCUGCUAACAUGGGUCCAUAUAAUCUGUUUCUUCCAAGGGGGCCUGCAGCUGAAUCCAAUGCCAUUUAUACAGGAAAGUAAGGGAUCUUUUCUUAUUCCAUCUGCUUCUUAAAGGUAAAGGUAAAGGGACCCCUGACCAUUAGGUCCAGUCGUGACAGACUCUGGGGUUGCGGCGCUCAUCUCGCUUUAUUGGCCGAGGGAGCCAGCGUACAGUUUCUGGGUCAUGUGGCCAGCAUGAAUAAGCCGCUUCUGGCGAACCAGAGCAGCGCAUGGAAACGCCGUUUACCUUCCUGCCGCAGCGGUACCUAUUUAUCUACUUGCACUUUGACGUGCUUUUGAACUGCUAGGUUGGCAGGAGCAGGGACCGAGCAAUGGGAGCUCACCCCGUCGUGGGGAUUCGAACUGCCGACCUUCUGAUCGGGAAGCCCUAGGCUCUGUGGUUUAACCCACAGCGCCACCUGCUUCUUACGGGACCACAAUUCUGGGUCUUUGUUUUUUUAAGUGCUGCAUACUCUAAAAAGCGAAGGUUGAGAGCUGCUAUAGAGCCAUCGCUGUGCACUUUUACAGAGUUUACAGAGGCACAAACAGAGGCAUUUUGAAGAAAAUGUGUGAAGGGAGAAAGGUCAGAGGGCAGCAAUGAGAUGGAUAGAGAGGAAGUGUCAGUGAUGAUUGUGGAGGCUUCUUAUAACAGGUCAAGGCAUUGGCCCAGAUCCAAGAAACACGUGGGCCUAUCACAUGGGAAGGAGAUUGUCUUCAGGUUCUAAAACAAGAAACGAGCACAGCAAGGCAUCCGAGCAAGGAGACAGGAGACAUGCUGGAAGAUGAAUGCAAUACCUGCCAGUCAAAAGCUCUCAAUAUUUAAUGCCAGCCUCUAUUCCUCGUGAUUUUAGAGCCCAAAGGAAGCCCAAGGCCAAGACUCUGUUGGCACUUGCCGCCUUUGUCCAGCAUGAGCAGUUUGGUUGCCAACUAGGCUUCUCUUGAAGACUGAGGGAAUGUCAGAAGAUGCUUGAUUUGGGCAGCAAAGCUUAAAAUACAGCAAAUACAGGUGAAACUCGGAAAAUUAGAAUAUCGUUGAAAAGUUCAUUUAUUUCAGUAAUUCAACUUAAAAGGUGAAACUAAUAUAUGAGAUAGACUCAUGACUUGCUAAGUGAGAUAUGUCAAGCCUUUAUUUGUUAUAAUUGUGAUGAUCAUGGCGUACAGCUGAUGAACCACAGUGGACCAACACCAGCUGAUGACAUGGCUCCCCAAAUCUCUUUUCUGAUGAGAGCAGCUUUUGCAUCUCACUUGGAAACGAAGGACCCAGAGUCUGGAGGAAGAAUGGGGAGGCACACAAUGCCCAAUGCUUGAAGUCCAGUGUGAAGUUUCCACAGUCUGUGUUGAUUUGGGGAGCCAUGUCAUCAGCUGAUGUUGGUCCACUGUGCUUCAUUGAGUCCAGGGUCAACACAGCCGUCUACCAGGAGAUUUUGGAGCACUUCAUGCUUCCUUCCACAGACGAGCUUUAUGGGGAUGCUGGCUUCAUUUUCCAGCAGAACUUUGGCACCUGCCCACACUGCCAAAAGUACCAAAGCCUGGUUCAGUGCGCAUGGGAUUACUGUGCUUGAUUGGCCAGCAAACUCGCCUGACCUGAACCCCAUAGAGAAUCUAUGGGGCAUUGCCAAGAGACAGAUGAGAGACAUGAGACAGAGCAAUGCCUUUCCAAGUUUCACCUGUAACUUAGAAUAAUAGAGUUGUAAGGGACCCUGAGCACCAUCCAGUCCAACCCCUUCAAUGCAGAAAUAUGCAACUGUCACAUACAAGGUUUGAACCUGCAAUACAAGGUUUGAACCUUGGUAAUAUCAGCACCACACUCUGACCAACUGAGCUUGGGAGAAUGUAGUGAACCUAACAACAUUGCUUGUUCAGUUAGAUUCCUCGUUUUCAUUGAAACCUUGUCUUACCAAGGGGUGAGGAAUCAUUUUUUGCUUCUCACUUUUUAAAGUUGUUCUUAUUUCUCAUUAGAUAUUUUUCUCCUGCUGUUCCUACUUAACUUCCACCUUCCUUGACCAUUGGUCCAUGAUGACUGGGGAUGAUGGGAGUCCAAUGGGGCCAUAGGUUCCCUAUUGAAAGAAAAGUCCUGUUGGAAGAACCAAGGGGCCACUGGGUCCAGUCUCUUUCCCUGUGCACUCGCUAAAUAUAUUCUGGCUUUUCUCAAACUCUACAAAGUGUGUGCACGCGCACAGGGGGAGGCACACUUCCCUCUUCUCUAAGUUACCGGGUUAAAACCAUUUUAUUCUCUUGAGCUCUUGGUGAGAAACAGUGAGAAACAGUUUCUAUCCAAAUGCUAUUUUGGUUUUAAACGCAGUGUAAGGAGUCUCUAUGGGAGUAUAUUAUAUUUUAAAAAUGGGGUAUCAGAGUUUUUAGAGGGCUAACCAGGUUGGGAUAGCAGGCUUGUUGGUUUUGAAUGUCUUAUGUAGAUUUUUUUCCCAAUUUUGUUGUUCUGUAUGGGACAAUGACAAUAAAGAUUAUCCUUUCGUAUCAAGUAACAGCAGGUUCUCCAAGGUUGGAGCUAGCAGUCUUUCCCGUCAUCUGUGUUCAAAAUUGGGGCGCAAAGCUCCACAGGUGAGCUCUGGGCCCCUACCCUAGUGCAACACAGUUUCUUAAAAAUCCCCACUGCCUUAAGAGUCCAGAAUGCUGAAUAUUUUCUUGACAAUUCCUUGCCGUUUCUUAGAUCCUUAAUGAUGCACCCACGUUCAUUGGAAAUCUUAGAGACCUGCUGAAAUGGUGCCGCGCGGGGGAUGGGAGGAAGGGAGCAGAAGAACCAUGCAGGAAGAGACGAUGAGCAGCUAAGAAGCAAAGCAUGCCAGUGGGCUUAUUUUAAAAAAUAAAAGGGAAGUCUGCCAGGCAGCAGCAACCCUGUGGCUUCAGUCACUAGAGCGGCUCAUGCAGGAAAAGGCGGCUAUAUUUAGCACAGCACCACAACCUUCUCAAGCCCAAAUCCAGGCACGUCGUCAGCAACACAGCAUUAGCAAAAGCCUGACAAAUUCCUGCUGGUUUUAAAAUACUGUCGCGCACUGUCCCCGUCCCCCCCCCCCCCGCACCCGGUGGCAGAUUUUGCUCUUUGUGGCCUCUUUUAAUGUGGCAACAGAUGGUCAGGACGGUAGAGUACAUCCAGAUUCAGUGCUGGCCUCCCUCUCUGUAAGUCGGCAAAGCGGUUCAGCCGGGUCUUACUGCUGGCGGGAUUUUAUCAGGCACAAGGUCUGGGAUGACAAAGGAACUGAUUAGCCAGCACAGAUUUCUGAUCUCUGGAGGCUUCUGGGCGCGAAGGAUCACCCCCACAAUCGCUGGGGAGUUUCUGGACAGGCUCCCCAGAAUUACCGUAUUUUUCGCUCCAAAAGGCGCACCGGACCAUAAGGCGCACCUAGUUUUUAGAGGGGGAAAUCAAGAAAAAAAAUCUUAUUUCCCCCCCCCAGCCCCAAAGAGCUCCCAGAGCUUCUGGGGCUGCCAGGGGAAGCCCGGGUCCCCCCCCCAGCCCCAAAGAGCAAAGAAGCCAAGACAGCGAGCGGGAUCCAUCCCGCCCGCUGUCUUGGCUUCCUCUUUAGCCGUGCGCAACCUCUCCAGCCGGGAGAGGCUGUGCGCAGCUAAAGAAGCCAUAGCCGCGCGCAGCCUCUCCUGGCUGGAGGGGCAGCUAUGGCAAUACCCCCAACUCCUGCAGAAGCCCACAGAAGCUGCAUACCCUUUAAGGAGCAUGCGGCUCCUGCGGGCUUUUCUACGAGGAGGGAGAAGGGACUGACUGCCCGCAUCAGUCCCUUCUCCCUCCCGGGGAAAAGCCCGCAAGAGCCACAUGGAGCUUGUGUGCGGCUCUUGGGGGCUUUCCCUGCCUGCCUCCCCCCUGCAUUCGCUCCAUAAGACGCACACAAAUUUCCCCUUACUUUUUAGGAGGGAAAAAGUGCGUCUUAUGGAGCGAAAAAUACGGUACUUGGGCAAAUCUCGCUACUUACCUGUGCUUUGUGGCGCAGGAGGACCCCACAUGUCACAAAGGCCUUGAGUGUGGAAACACAGAGAGGGAGCUGUGCAGUCCUUGGGAUCUGCCAGUUUGUCUAAUAAAGGCAUUUUUGUGUGUGUUAAGUGCCCUGUGGUACAUUAAGGACGACUGUGGGUCUUUAUGGGCCUUGCUGCUGAAAUCCCAAAGUUCACUGCCCCAAUAUUCUGCUCCCAAUGAAGGCAAUUUUUGUUUUGUUUUGCUGCAGCAGCAGUGGCAACAACUUCCUGGCUGCUGCUGCCUAAUGGCAGAAUUAAAAUGGUAGUUUCAAAAAGUACUACAUAUAGUGCUAUUUUAUCCUGCAGUCUGUUUUCCAAGGCCAAAAUCCUUUUAUUGUUCACUCGCAAAUCCCAUUUAACUAAGCCCCCCUGCAAUGCUAAUUAGUAGCUUUCUUAUAGAUUCUGCCCAUUAUUAUUUUUUUGCUUUUAAUUUAGUGCAUUUGGGGGAUUUAUAAUUUACCGCCCCUUAGUCAGCAUCUGUUGCCAACAUGCAGCUUUUAUUACUUGCUUUCUCUUCCCCAUCAAUUUUUAUUUGAUAGCAUUUUUUCCCUCUCUUAUAGCAAAAUAAAACUUAUCUGAAAGGAAACCAGUAACCAAAGCCACUUCUCCAAUGAGGAACUCAAGUUGACUGACCAAGGAGCAAUUAAUCACUAAUUCCUCAGCUGCACUGAACAAGAGAAAGCAGUAAAGGGGGAAGAGUGGGUAAGGAAGAAGCUUUUAUCUAAUCAAAUUACAACUUUAAUUUAAGUAGCCUUGAAAAGCCUCAGAGCACUGCCCAAGUUGGAAAGGCAGGCACUGCAAUUGCCUUUUAUUACUGUGCUGAAAAAUAGACAUAAAUCAGCUAUUAAACAUGGCAGGAGACCACGUCAGAAAAGCAGUGGAUGGCAAACAUUUGGCCACAUCACCAGGAUUCUCAGGAAAGUGGAGAAUGAAUGGCAGGGUCAGGGAAGACAGCUAGUCUUAUAAAGAACACAAGUAAUUUGUUGCAAUAGUGCUAGGAUAAUUCAGAUAAUAAAUCUAUCCUCCCCCAGCUGAUUUUAACUGCACCAUUUUCACCGACCUGUAGAAGGUGCCAUUGAAGUAUGUGAUGUUACAUUAAAUGUGGACAGAGAACAGUGAGCAUCUGGGCUUGGUUUCUAGGUUCAGGAAUCGGACAAGACAAGAACAACAAACUGGUAGCCGGCCAGCCCUAAAUCGAUGCCCCCAGCACGUUUAAGAAAACCACCACAUCCAUCUAUGGCAGAAAAGAGCAGUUGCAACUAGAGUCCACUACAAGGAAAAAUAACCUAGGAGCAGAUAUGUCUUCUGUAUAAUAGCUACCAAGAACUUUAUAAAAUGAGCUGCAGAAUGGGGGGGGGGGGGAGUAGUAGUUUUAACCAAUAAAGAAACUUGUAUCAAAUUGAGUCAGUGAGACUGCAUGGGAGAGAAGCAAACAGAAGCAAUUUUUUGCAAAGAGGAAAGUACCGUAUUUUUUGCUCUAUAAGACUCACUUUUUCCCUCCUAAAAAGUAAGGGGAAAUGUAUGUGUGUCUUAUGGAGCGAGUGCAGGCUGCGCAGCUAUCCCAGAAGCCAGAACAGCAAGAGGGAUUGCUGCUUUCACUAUGCAGCGAUCCCUCUUGCUGUUCUGGCUUCUGAGAUUCAGAAUAUUUUUUUUCCUGUUUUCCUCUUCCAAAAACUAGGUGCGUCUUGUGGUCUGGUGUGUCUUAUAGAGCGAAAAAUACGGUAUUUCCAUUCUCAGAGCACACUGUGGACCGGGGUGUUUUGUUCCCUUAAACACUUGCACGUUUCAGAAUAUCCCUGGACUAGACUUGUUUGUUUAAAUGGGAAAGAAUGAAUUCCAGACAUCACCAUACAACAGAGCAGGGCAGAACGCUGUCCUUCUCGAUAAGAAUACGUUUGAUUAAUAGUGAAGAGUGUGCGUCCAUAUGGCGCUCAAUAUCACUUGCCCUAGAACAGCUGUUUGUGAGAUGCCACUUUACUCAGCCUCCUGCAGCUCAGAAGCCAGCAACCGGCACUGAGGUAUUUUAUUUCUGCUCUGCAGCACAUCAAUAUUGUUGAACGGAUAUCCAUGAAAUGCCAAAACAGAAAUUCUCACGUUCUGUGGAGUUAUAGUUCCCCAAAAACAGAUGGUGCCAAAGUUUCAAAUUAUAUAUCCCCCUAGACUACCCAGAAGAAUUGUGGCAGUCAUUAAAAAAAAAAAACAACCAUAAAAAUAUGCAUGUCCCAAGCCUUUAAUCUGCUGUUUUUGCCCCCAUUUCAGGAGGAAUCUAAAAUAAUCCUCAAUUUGGUCUGAUGCCUUACUCUUCCAUAAUGCUGCUCUUCACAAUGCUGACCACAAUGAUGAUUUUCUUCAAUUUAAAACCCAAGGAAAAAUCUGUACCAGCUGCCUUGCGAAAUAUCUUUGGGAGAAGAAAAGGCUAAAUCCUACACAGAGCAGAGUCCCUAAGGCAGUUUGAUGGCACCUUGUAAGCCUCCUUCCCACAGCCAAGCGGGUGCAGAACGUUUUGCUCUGCUUUCCUUUGGACCACGUCAGCAAGGCUGAGAGGAGGUCUUGUCAUCUGGGCAGCUGAGGACCUCCAGACACACUGCCCAGACAUGCGCCCCAGAAAGGUCCCUUCAGGAAAAGCAAUGCAGGAGGCAGCAGUUACGAGUUCCCGGUCUCUGCAGCCACAGCAGGCGCUGUGAUUCUCCAGCAGUUUGACUUCAGCCUUGGAGACGCACUCCAUUGUCUCUCGAGACAGGCAGAUGCCAACAAAUGGUGAUCUUCUACACAACAUGAGAUAAUAGUCAAGUGUGUUCAAGUCAUCUCAUUUACCAAAUCUCUGGUUUUAAUUCUUUAAGUAGCCAAGCACAUUGUUAAUUUAAAAGUGCAUAACGAUAUCUUAAUUUUAAGGCCUCUGAAUAGUUAGACGUCGAAGCGCUGCAAGCAUGUUGCCCCACCUACAGGAAAUGAGAGUUACAUUUUCUUUGCUGGAGACAGGAGUUCUCUUUGCCAGGGAUGGGGGCAAAGAGACAGGGCGGGGGGCACGUAUCAGUUGGUAGGGGCAGCAAGCAUGCCUUGCCAGUGUGCAACUGGGAGUGCGUUUGCUCCCGAUUUUGUGUGAGCUGUCCUCUCUCCACAAACCCAUCGCUCGACACCACGCAUGAUGCGAAGGUGGGAGGAAAUGGCCUCAUGGGAUAAAAGUUCCCUUCCCUUGCUUGAUUCUGUACAUAAACACCAAAUAAAAUACAGUGGUACCUCGGGUUAAGUACUUAAUUCGUUCCGGAGGUCCAUUCUUAACCUGAAACUGUUCUUAACCUGAAGCACCACUUUAGCUAAUGGGGCCUCCUGCUGCCGCCAGAGCACGAUUUCUGUUCUCAUCCUGAAGCAAAGUUCUUAACCUGAAGCACUAUUUCUAGGUUAGCGGAGUGUGUACCCUGAAGCGUAUGUAACCUGAGGUACCACUGUAGCCAGCCCCCUCUACGGCAGACCCGGUUGCAGAGCCCACCACUCCCAACUGUUUGCUAGGGGAAAGCAACAAACCCAAGGUGUGUUUUCCCUUCAUUACAGCCUCCAUGUUUCUAACCCAUGCAAGUUAGAAUACAGAUUGCUAUAUGGUACUACUAAACACAUAUUUAUGGAGGCAGCUGAGGCAGGUUUUGCUUCCAAUAUCUACAUCUAACUAAUUGCUGUGCUUGGAGACAAGAAACACUUCCCUCUAUCAGAUCAGACUGACUCUCAAUGUCUUUUGCAUCUUCUACAUGGCUUUGGCUCAGCCGUUUUAAGCUUUUUAGGUUUGGCACAGGGCUCUCUUUGCAGUCUGCUUACAGAAGCCAAGAUUCUGGAGGAAGACCCAUUUAUAAAGGCUUGACCAAGAACAAUCCACUCUUAACACAAAGAAAACGGUGUCCGCCUACAUCCUAACCCUAAUAAAACACUUUCA